UACGUAGGGUGCGAGCGUUGUCCGGAAUUAUUGGGCGUAAAGCGCUCGUAGGCGGUGUGUCGCGUCGGCCGUGAAAACCUGUAGCUUAACUGUGGGCGUGCGGGCGAUACGGGCAGACUGGAGUACUGCAGGGGAGACUGGAAUUCCUGGUGUAGCGGUGGAAUGCGCAGAUAUCAGGAGGAACACCGGUGGCGAAGGCGGGUCUCUGGGCAGUAACUGACGCUGAGGAGCGAAAGCGUGGGGAGCGAACAGG
rnacentral:rRNA from 1 species